CACCCUGGGGCAGAGGGAGCCUGACUGUGGGGACCCCCCCUACCAGCUCUUUAGGGGUACGAGGACCCCAAGGUGCUGGCUCUGCCCAAGGCUCAGCGUGUGACCCUGCUGCUGCAGCUGCUGUGGCAGGAUUUGCAGGGCCUUCCUGGCGUGAUGGAGGUGCUCAGGAACCUUUGGGGUUGCGUGGCCCAGCACGGCCUGGUCCCCGUGUCCCCCCACCAGGGCCCCUGCAAGUACCCGGGGCAGCUGUGACCACGUCCACCCCCCCGGGGCUGGGGGCUGCCCCCGUGGGCACCAUCGCGCUGCUAAUAAACUCUUUUGUGCUGCA